AUUGAACGCUGGCGGCAGGCCUAACACAUGCAAGUCGGACGGUAGCACAGAGGAGCUUGCUCCUCGGGUGACGAGUGGCGGACGGGUGAGUAAUGUCUGGGAAACUGCCCGAUGGAGGGGGAUAACUACUGGAAACGGUAGCUAAUACCGCAUAACGUCGCAAGACCAAAGUGGGGGACCUUCGGGCCUCACACCAUCGGAUGUGCCCAGAUGGGAUUAGCUGGUAGGCGGGGUAACGGCCCACCUAGGCGACGAUCCCUAGCUGGUCCGAGAGGAUGAGCAGCCACACUGGAACUGAGACACGGUCCAGACUCCGACGGGAGGCAGCAGUGGGGAAUAUUGCACAAGGGGCGCAAGCCUGAUGCAGCCAUGCCGCGUGUAUGAAGAAGGCCUUCGGGUUGUAAAGUACUUUCAGCGGGGAGGAAGGUGCUGAGGUUAAUAAGCUCAGCAAUUGACGUCACCCGCAGAAGAAGCACCGGCUAACUCCGUGCCAGCCGCCGCGGUAA
rnacentral:rRNA from 1 species